AUUGAACGCUGGCGGCAGGCCUAACACAUGCAAGUCGAACGAGCGGCGGACGGGUGAGUAAUGUCUGGGGAUCUGCCUGAUAGAGGGGGAUAACUACUGGAAACGGUUGCUAAUACCGCAUACUAUCGGAUGAACCCAUAUGGGAUUAGCUAGUUGGUGGGGUAACGGCUCACCUAGGCGACGAUCCCUAGCUGGUCUGAGAGGAUGAGCAGCCACACUGUGACUGAGACACGGUCCAGACUCCUACGGGAGGAAGCAGUAGGGAAUAUUGGACAAUGGACGAAAGCCUGAUGGAGCAAUGCCGCGUGAAUGAAGAAGGCGUUCGGAUUGUAAAGCACUGUUGUUAGAGAAGCGGUACCCACAGAGAAAGCAACGGCUAACUCCGUGCCAGCAGCCGCGGUAAUUC
rnacentral:rRNA from 1 species